rnacentral:rRNA from 1 species
CAUGCAAGUCGAACGAUGAAGCCGGAGCUUGCUCUGGUGGAUUAGUGGCGAACGGGUGAGUAACACGUGAGUAACCUGCCCUUGACUCUGGAAUAAGCGUUGGAAACGACGUCUAAUACUGGAUACGAGCUUCAGCCGCAUGGCUAGGAGCUGGAAAGAAUUUCGGUCAAGGAUGGACUCGCGGCCUAUCAGGUAGUUGGUGAGGUAAUGGCUCACCAAGCCUACGACGGGUAGCCGGCCUGAGAGGGUGACCGGCCACACUGGAACUGAGACACGGUCCAGACUCCUACGGGAGGCAGCAGUGGGGAAUAUUGCACAAUGGGCGAAAGCCUGAUGCAGCAACGCCGCGUGAGGGACGACGGCCUUCGGGUUGUAAACCUCUUUUAGUAGGGAAGAAGCGAAAGUGACGGUACCUGCAGAAAAAGCACCGGCUAACUACGUGCCAGCAGCCGCGGUAAUACGUAGGGUGCAAGCGUUAUCCGGAAUUAUUGGGCGUAAAGAGCUCGUAGGCGGUUUGUCGCGUCUGCUGUGAAAACUGGAGGCUCAACCUCCAGCCUGCAGUGGGUACGGGCAGACUAGAGUGCGGUAGGGGAGAUUGGAAUUCCUGGUGUAGCGGUGGAAUGCGCAGAUAUCAGGAGGAACACCAAUGGCGAAGGCAGAUCUCUGGGCCGUAACUGACGCUGAGGAGCGAAAGCAUGGGGAGCGAACAGGAUUAGAUACCCUGGUAGUCCAUGCCGUAAACGUUGGGAACUAGAUGUAGGGACCAUUCCACGGUUUCUGUGUCGCAGCUAACGCAUUAAGUUCCCCGCCUGGGGAGUACGGCCGCAAGGCUAAAACUCAAAGGAAUUGACGGGGGCCCGCACAAGCGGCGGAGCAUGCGGAUUAAUUCGAUGCAACGCGAAGAACCUUACCAAGACUUGACAUAUACGAGAACGGGCUAGAAAUAGUCAACUCUUUGGACACUCGUAAACAGGUGGUGCAUGGUUGUCGUCAGCUCGUGUCGUGAGAUGUUGGGUUAAGUCCCGCAAC